CUCUGUAUUAUCAGGAUGUGGUGUAUUUGCUCUUGCAUCAAUUGAAAAAGGAUCCUUUGUGGCCGAGUACCAAGGGGAGUUCAUCUCAAGACAUGAGCGGGACAAGAGACAGAAACCCUUUAUAAUUAUCUUUACUAUUUAUCUGGCAUUAUAUGCUCAUAAUAUUUGUGUGUUUUGUUGCAGACACCAACUGUUGAUGUACUAUCUCAACUUUCUCCAGAUUCAGAUGUGAGCGAUAAACCGACUUCAUCCCUUCAACAGAAGCCAACUGUUGAUGUUCCAUCUCAACAUUCUCCAGAUUCAGAUGUGAGCGAUAAACCGACUUCUUCCCUCCAACAGACACCAACUGUUGAUGUUCCAUCUCAACAUUCUCCAGAUUCAGAUACACCAACUGUUGAUGUUCUAUCUCAACAUUCUCCAGAUUCAGAUGUGAGCGAUUAACCGACUUCAUCCCUCCAAAAGAUUCACAGCAGGACAAAGCGCUGGAAGUGGGUAUGUCUCAAGCUUCUUCAACGUGCUCCACUCCAAAGCGAGCUGCAAAGGUGAAGAAGUGGAAGCAGUUGAAUGACACAUGUUGCAUUUUAUAACUGGCAACAAAGUACCAGGUAAAAAAGAUUGUGAAGCCUGCCUCCAUAAAGAACUAGUAGCUCUACAGGACAGAGAUUGGCUUGCCAUCAAGUACUAUGUCCAUAACAGAAUCAUAUCAAAAAAAGGAAAAACAUUUGUUUUUCCACAUCUUCUGUGUUAGUUUGAGUAUGUUACCAGCAAUUAAAAAAGCAAGAUAA